CACAAAGACACAAACACACACUCUUAACAGGAAUAGAAACUUGGGGUGUGGCUGAGAGGCACACCACACUACACAUGUCAUUCUCCUCUCCUUCUCCUCCCUUGUUUCCUGUCUGUCUCCACUGUGUCAAUAAAAGCUAUUUCUUCUCUAAUCUCACGAUCGCUUGGAUUUAUCUUGUGACCCUUUUUGAGAGGCCCGACCCCUAAAGAAGUCUAAAACUAGCUCCAACUUAAACAGCUACAACACUAAAAUGCUUGUUUUACAUUGAUGGAUCAGUAUUCACUUAAUAAUGUCACAUAUAAUAACAUUUCAGUCACAGUAUGAUUGCUUUUACUUUUAAUACUUUGAAUACUUUGUGCUGUGUCAACUCCAAUCCUUUCAUGUUAGUGUGUGUGUGUGUGUGUGUGUGUGUGUGUGUGUGUGUGUGUGUGUGUGUGUGUCCUACCCAGUUCCAGAGAAGAAGUGGAGGUAAUUCCGAUGCCAUCGUCGUCUCCAGACAAAGCGAAUGCAGGUGGACUGGUGGAAGGUCAGCAGGGCUCUAAUGAUGAUGUUGCGCUCUUCUCUGGCUGCAGAGACAA